rnacentral:rRNA from 1 species
AUUGAACGCUGGCGGCAGGCCUAACACAUGCAAGUCGAGCGGAGCGGCGGACGGGUGAGUAAUGCCUAGGAAUCUGCCUGGUAGUGGGGGAUAACGUCCGGAAACGUGCGCUAAUACCGCAUCCCAUAGGAUGAGCCCAAGUGGGAUUAGGUAGUUGGUGAGGUAAAGGCUACACAAGCAGACUAUCGCUAGCUGGUCUGAGAGGAGGACCAGCCAAACUGGGACUGAGACACGGCCCAGACUCCUACGGGGGGCAGCAGUGGGGAAUAUUGCGCAAUGGGGGCAACCCUGACGCAGCCAUGCCGCGUGAAUGAAGAAGGCCUUCGGGUUGUAAAGUUCUUUCGGUAGCGAGGCGUUAACUACAGAAGAAGCACCGGCUAACUCCGUGCCAGCAGCCGCGGUAAUAC